rnacentral:rRNA from 1 species
ACGUAGGCAGCGAGCGUUGUUCGGAGUUACUGGGCGUAAAGCGUGCGUAGGCGGUGUCUUAAGUUUGUUGUGAAAUCUCCCGGCUUAACCGGGAGGGUGCGGCGAAUACUGAGAUGCUGGAGUGCCGGAGAGGUAAGCGGAAUUCCUGGUGUAGCGGUGAAAUGCGUAGAUAUCAGGAGGAACACCUGCGGUGUAGACGGCUUACUGGACGGUAACUGACGCUGAGGCACGAAAGCGUGGGUAGCAAACAGGA